rnacentral:other from 1 species
GCGAGCGUUUUCUAAAUUCGGUAUAAUGUUUUUGCAAGGGUUACUUGCAAGAACUUUUUUGGAGGCUAUAUAUUUAUGGAACACGGAACAGUAAAAUGGUUCAACAAUGAAAAAGGAUUUGGGUUUAUUACAGUAGACGGUGGAGACGAUGUAUUCGUACAUUUCUCAGCAAUCCAAGGCGAUGGCUUCAAAAGCUUAGAAGAAGGCCAAGAAGUAGAAUUCUCUAUCGUUGAAGGUGCGCGUGGUCCUCAAGCUGCUGAAGUAUCUAAAUUAUAAGAUCAUGUUGACGAAAAAAGAAGAUACGGCUUGCCGUAUCUUCUUUU